UGCCUAAAAUUGGGAGCAACUGGG
rnacentral:piRNA from 1 species